UACGGAGGGUGCAAGCGUUAAUCGGAAUUAUUGGGCGUAAGGGGUGCGUAGGUGGUUGGAUAAGUUAUCUGUGAAAUCCCCGGGCUUAACCUGGGCAGGUCAGAUAAGACUGUUCGACUCGAGUAUAGGAGAGGGUAGUGGAAUUUCCGGUGUAGCGGUGAAAUGCGUAGAGAUCGGAAGGAACACCAGUGGCGAAGGCGGCUACCUGGCCAGAUACUGACACUGAAGCACGAAAGCGUGGGGAGCAAACAGG
rnacentral:rRNA from 1 species